UGUGCACUAGCGGGGUCCCUCAGCCUGGCCUGCACCCUCUAACAAUCUAGGACCCUCAGGGGAUGUCAGAGAGUCAGUUUUUGCCUGAUCCUGUAGGCCAGGCUGAGGGACCCCACUGGUGCAUG
rnacentral:pre_miRNA from 1 species